UUCUUUUAGCAGCAUUGUCUUCUUGUCUGUCAUGUCAUGUACAUUUUAUGAUCUCCUGAUAUUCUCUUCUGCAACUUGGUUCUGUACCCUGCCUCCUACUGCAGCCAAAGGGAAGAAAUGAAUCUAUAUCCUUGUAUCACUUACGCUGACUUGGUUUUCAUUUUCAUGGGCUCAAUUGACAUGCCAUCUCACAUACUGUUGUUUUAUGUGAUCCAAGUUCUUUUUCAAGGCAGCAUAAUAUGCAAUAUAUGAUGUUGAUGAUAUUGUAAGAUUUAUGUAUAUUUAGGUCAUAGGACCUUGAUCAUUCAAGGAACUUGUUUAGAAGCCCUUUCAUCCUCAUUCUUAAGCCUCUAAAUAGUCAUUGAUUGUGCUCUUGUUCUUCCUACGAAGUUGCUUGUUUAUCUUCAUUAAUAUCUGCCACUGAUUUCAGAAGCUAAAAAUUUGUCAUUGAGAGUGAGUCAAUUCCUUUGGAUAGGAGGAAUUUCUUAUUUCUUCUGUAAUACAGAUUACAGUUUGACCUCAAUAAUAUUUAAGCCUGCGUUGAUUUAGUGAGGAUUGCUUGUGUUCAUGGAGAUUCCAAGUAAUAAGUUUGGACCAUGACGCAUGAUAUAGUUUAUUUUUGAGUUGCAUAUCAUCUCAAAAUUUGAUCAGAGCAGGGUAAAAUCAUGGUUAAACAGUAUAAUCAUCCUAGGUCAUGCAACCCCUGUUUGUGGGAGGAAAUGCCACUGUAGUGUCAUGUUGUAUGAAGGAAUUUUUUUUUUUUUUGUUUUAAUGCCUAUACUAUCAUGUCUUAUUAAAGGUGUUUGCAGCAUAAUGCAGUUCUGUAGUUCUCUCUGUGAGUCAAGUAUCUGUGUUCCCUAUUUCAUUUUGCCAUAUGCAUUUUAUGUGCUGUUUAAUUACUGAAAUUCAAUUAUUUAUGAUGCGUUUAUGGCAUUUGAAGUGAUGACUCUGAAAUCACUUACUUUGGGGGGUUAUUUAGGAAAAUUAAAAAAGGGUUGUUUUCCUGAAUUUCCUUAUUUUCUUAUCAUGCAUGCAUUAGUGAUUGAAUUUGAGACUGCUAUUUGGCUAGGUGCAUACCUUCUAUUUGUUAGAAAUAAUUUUGUUUAAACAUUUAGCUGUUACAGGUAUAUGUAAUGAAUGUUGGGGUUGUGGCUUUAAUACUAGUUGGGGAUGUACUCCUAUUUAGUGUUGUACAACAUUUAACAUUUUCUGAAUUUGUUGACCAGACGCCAAAAGUAUAUCCAUAUGACAACUUGCGGGUGGAGCUUGGUGGAGAACCUUAGGUUAAUCGUCUGCGUGCAAGGCAUUGUACGGUUACUGGUGUUUCACAUAUGUUUCGCAUUUGUUCAUCUGUGUGCUUGUGGAAUUUCAAACAGUUGAUAAAAAUAAUGGUUGUAGCUGACGUUAACCUCAUGAAACAAAUUGCUUGAGACGGUUUUGUUUAAAUCCGAUUCCCGAAACAAAUAUGGUGAUUCUUUUUCACUGUUAAAUGCUUCUGCUAGUGUGGGAGAAUGAAUUAGUUGUGUUAUUAGGUAAAAGUUGCCUCCAAACACUAGAAAAAACCGUACCAUUUAAAAAUGGCACAUCCCAUUCCCAUAAACAUGGGUUUGUGGAUGUUCCUGACUCUCUAAUCUCGACUUCUGAAAUUAUGUUGUUCCUCAGCUAGAGCUGAAAACUUUAUUUUCAUUCAAUUUAAUAUUUAUGAGGGACUAUGUGAUCCGAGUGAAGUUGUACAAUAACCUUCCAUGCAAGUUAUGACCUUACUUGCGUGCUGAUAGCAAUUAUCUGAAUUAUAUUGACCUGUUGAUUGUGCUUCAAUAAAGCUUAAAAAAAAGUUAAUCAA
rnacentral:misc_RNA from 1 species